UUUGUACGUCACGGAUGUGCCAAGGGAUAAAUGGACCAAGAUGUUGCAGUGAAUUUAUAUGGAACAAGGCACUGAGUGAAUGCAUACCUUGCAUGAAGGAUUUUUAUGGUACAGAUUGCAGAUCUACAUGCCAUCCACCAUAUUUUGGCCUGUACUGCAAGUUCGUGUGUAAUUGCUCUGUUGAAGAAUGUCACCAUGCUCACGGCUGCAAA